rnacentral:rRNA from 1 species
AACGAACGCUGGCGGCAUGCCUAACACAUGCAAGUCGAACGAUGCCUUCGGGCAUAGUGGCGCACGGGUGCGUAACGCGUGGGAAUCUGCCUUUCGGUUCGGAAUAACUCAGGGAAACUUGAGCUAAUACCGGAUAACGUCGCAAGACCAAAGAUUUAUCACCGAAAGAUGAGCCCGCGUAGGACUAGCUAGUUGGUGAGGUAAAGGCUCACCAAGGCGACGAUCCUUAGCUGGUCUGAGAGGAUGAUCAGCCACACUGGGACUGAGACACGGCCCAGACUCCUACGGGAGGCAGCAGUGGGGAAUAUUGGACAAUGGGCGAAAGCCUGAUCCAGCAAUGCCGCGUGAGUGAUGAAGGCCUUAGGGUUGUAAAGCUCUUUUACCCGGGAAGAUAAUGACGGUACCGGGAGAAUAAGCCCCGGCUAACUCCGUG